ensembl:rRNA 5S_rRNA 5S ribosomal RNA
GCUUACGGCCACAACUCCCUCAGGACGCCUGAUCUCGGAAGCUAAGCAGGGUCGGGCCUGGUUAGUACUUGGAUGGGAGACCGCCUGGGAAUACCAUGUGUGCUGUAAGCC